rnacentral:rRNA from 1 species
AUUGAACGCUGGCGGCAUGCCUAACACAUGCAAGUCGAACGGUAACAGGCCCUUCGGGGUGCUGACGAGUGGCGGAUGGGUGAGUAAUACUUAGGAAUCUACCCUGUAGUGGGGGACGAACCCGGGGAAACGUCGGGCUAAUACCGCAUACGCUCUACGGAGGAAAGCGGGGGACCGGCAAGGCCUCGCGCUAUUGGAUGAGCCUAAGCCCGAUUAGCUAGUUGGUGGGGUAAUAGCCUACCAAGGCAAUGAUCGGUAGCUGGUCUGAGAGGACGACCAGCCACACUGGGACUGAGACACGGCCCAGACUCCUACGGGAGGCAGCAGUGGGGAAUAUUGGACAAUGGGCGAAAGCCUGAUCCAGCGAUGCCGCGUGUGUGAAGAAGGG